AGCAAGAGUAAGAAGUAUUGGCAGCACAAGCAGGCGGGCAGGCUGAAAUCUUGCAUGGAAAUCAUGAACUCUGUCUUGCUUUUCGUUUUUGAAACCUUUUGGAAGGAGAGUUAUGAAUAGUCCAGAAAUAGGUCUCAUUUUGUGGGUAGGAAGAAUGACCAGAAGCAUGAAAGCGAAAUCUCCUGGCAAGUGCAGGGUACCACUCUUGGAGUGAGCAGUAAACCCGAGGGGAGGACUUUGCCUGCUGUGAACUCCUGAACCAUCACAUCUGGAGUGAAGGGCUGGUGAAGCCUUGUAAUAAACGCAAAGGAUGCUGCUGAGAGCUUUUUGGUCUGCCUUUAACUCAUUGUGGCAAAGUUGGACAUCCCAAAGAUGGCGUAGAUGAACAUGACCAGGAAAAGCAGGAGGCCGAUGUUGAACAGCGCAGGAAGGGACAUCAUCAGAGCAAAGAGCAGCGUGCGGAUCCCCUUGGCGCCUUUGAUCAGGCGUAGGAUUCGUCCAAUCCUGGCCAGGCGGAUGACUCGGAACAGGAUGCUGCUCCCAGUCUUCAUUGAGAAACUGUUCUUGCCAGUGAAAAGUAGUGAAUGAAAAAAUGCUUGGCUGCUCAAGGCAUUGAGAAUGACAGCUGUGUGCUCAGCUCAGGACAUUCAUAUCCUUCUCCAAGGCUCUAGGAACAAAGCUGUGGUGGUGACAGGAAGAGUGUAAGAGCCCAGGAGACAGGGAAGAGAGUUAUGAGAGCUAUGAGAGCUGUGCUGUACCAAUGACACAAUCGAUGGCAGCAGAGGUCAGCAGUGGGCUCAUGCAAUACUGGGUGGAUCAGCAUUAAUAUAUAGGGAGGGCCCAUGUAACCACAUCCUCUCUGCUGAAUUAUGAGCUACUGACGGAUUGUGUGAGGGACAAACAUUCUCUUCAGCCAUGUACCCACUUAUGAAUUUACCAGGCUAACCUUCUUCGAUGUUGGCCUGGUUCUGUUCCUCGUACGCCAUGGCUACCACAGCCAGGAUCAAGUUUAUCAGGUAAAAGGAGCCCAGAAAAAUCACCACGACAAAGAAAAUCAUGUAGGUUUUACCAGCGGCACGCAGAGUCUAGGGGGGCAAAAAAGAGAAAUGGUUAUUUUAGUAAUACAAAAAUUUCACUAUGUUUUUUAAUUGUGGCUGGUAUAUAAUGAAUAUAUAAAAUGGAUAUUUUUGUAUAAUUUUGUUGUAGAAAGAUAAAUGAAGAUAAUAUCUUUGAAGGAAAUCAGUAUUAAGCAAAUUUUUUAGUAUAAAAAAUACAGCAAUGUUAUAUCUAGAUUAAGGUUUGAUUCUUCAUUAAAAUGAAAGAUAAUAAUAUAACAAUUCUUCAUUUUCCACAUUAUUGAAAUUAACACUAACCUUAACUCCCAUGUUGUCUUUUAACUUUUUGCAACAGGCUGCUUUUAUUGUUAGAUUCUAUUCUUUCCCUUUUAACACAUAAAUCACAGUAUCA